rnacentral:rRNA from 1 species
AGAGUUUGAUCCUGGCUCAGGACGAACGCUGGCGGCGUGCGUAACACAUGCAAGUCGAACGAGAGAGUGAGAGAAGCUUGCUUUUCUUACGAUCGAGUGGCAAACGGGUGAGUAACGCGUAAACAACCUGCCCCGCAGAUGGGGACAACAGCUGGAAACGGCUGCUAAUACCGAAUACGGUCCUCUUAGCGCAUGGUAAGAGGAAGAAAGGGUGGCCUCUGGAACAAGCUACCGCUGCGGGAGGGGUUUGCGUCUGAUUAGCUGGUUGGAGGGGUAACGGCCCACCAAGGCGACGAUCAGUAGCCGGUCUGAGAGGAUGAACGGCCACACUGGAACUGAGACACGGUCCAGACUCCUACGGGAGGCAGCAGUGGGGAAUCUUCCGCAAUGGGCGAAAGCCUGACGGAGCAACGCCGCGUGAGUGAAGAAGGAUUUCGGUUCGUAAAGCUCUGUUGUUAGGGAAGAAUGGAUAUGUAGUAACUAUACAUAUAAGAGACGGUACCUAACCAGAAAGCCACGGCUAACUACGUGCCAGCAGCCGCGGUAAUACGUAGGUGGCAAGCGUUGUCCGGAAUUAUUGGGCGUAAAGCGCGCGCAGGCGGAUCAGUCAGUCUGUCUUAAAAGUUCGGGGCUUAACCCCGUGAUGGGAUGGAAACUGCUGAUCUAGAGUAUCGGAGAGGAAAGUGGAAUUCCUAGUGUAGCGGUGAAAUGCGUAGAUAUUAGGAAGAACACCAGUGGCGAAGGCGACUUUCUGGACGAAAACUGACGCUGAGGCGCGAAAGCCAGGGGAGCGAACGGGAUUAGAUACCCCGGUAGUCCUGGCCGUAAACG